AUUGAACGCUGGCGGCAUGCUUUACACAUGCAAGUCGAACGGUAACAGGCCGCAAGGUGCUGACGAGUGGCGAACGGGUGAGUAAUGCAUCGGAACGUGCCCAGUCGUGGGGGAUAACUACUCGAAAGAGUAGCUAAUACCGCAUACGAUCUAUGGAUGAAAGCGGGGGACCGUAAGGCCUCGCGCGAUUGGAGCGGCCGAUGUCAGAUUAGGUAGUUGGUGGGGUAAAGGCUCACCAAGCCAACGAUCUGUAGCUGGUCUGAGAGGACGACCAGCCACACCGGGACUGAGACACGGCCCAGACUCCUACGGGAGGCAGCAGUGGGGAAUUUUGGACAAAGGGCGCAAGCCUGAUCCAGCAAUGCCGCGUGCAGGAAGAAGGCCUUCGGGUUGUAAACUGCUUUUGUACGGAACGAAACGGCUCUGGUUAAUACCCGGGGCUAAUGACGGUACCGUAAGAAUAAGCACCGGCUAACUACGUG
rnacentral:rRNA from 1 species